ACCUCGCUCAGAAUAGAUUCCCUAGAUGGAGUUGAUGACCGGAAAGUAUUUUCCGUAAGCGUCAAACAGUCUUUCGAAUCCAUGACUCUGAGUACCCUGUCUAGAACCCAGUCGAUGGUUGCGUAGUACGGACUCGCGAGGUGUAUACUUCGUAAGAGUCGGUACGAGAACCUCACCCAGAAUAGAUUCCCUUGAUGGAGUUGACGACCGGGAAGUAUUUCCCGUAAGCGUCAAACAUUCUUGUGAAUCAAUGACUCUGGGGAUCCUUUGUAACAAAAGCCCUAGAUCAUACCCGGUGAGAACCCCAUUUUGGAAAAGCAAUCAAAUUUAUCCAUACCUCGGACCUUUGAACCUAAAAAAAAAAUAAAAAAAAAAAA
rnacentral:lncRNA from 1 species